UGGGGAAUAUUGCACAAUGGGCGAAAGCCUGAUGCAGCAACGCCGCGUGAGUGAUGACGGUCUUCGGAUUGUAAAGCUCUGUCUUUGGGGACGAUAAUGACGGUACCCAAGGAGGAAGCCACGGCUAACUACGUGCCAGCAGCCGCGGUAAUACGUAGGUGGCAAGCGUUGUCCGGAUUUACUGGGCGUAAAGGGUGCGUAGGCGGACCUUUAAGUGAGAUGUGAAAUCCCCGAGCUUAACUUGGGGGCUGCAUUUCAAACUGGAGGUCUAGAGUGCAGGAGAGGAGAGUGGAAUUCCUAGUGUAGCGGUGAAAUGCGUAGAGAUUAGGAAGAACACCAGUGGCGAAGGCGACUCUCUGGACUGUAACUGACGCUAAGGUGCGAAAGCGUGGGUAGCAAACAG
rnacentral:rRNA from 1 species